GUCCACGCCGUAAACGAUGUCGACUAGCCGUUGGGAUCCUUGAGAUCUUAGUGGCGCAGCUAACGCGAUAAGUCGACCGCCUGGGGAGUACGGCCGCAAGGUUAAAACUCAAAUGAAUUGACGGGGGCCCGCACAAGCGGUGGAGCAUGUGGUUUAAUUCGAAGCAACGCGAAGAACCUUACCUGGCCUUGACAUGCUGAGAACUUUCCAGAGAUGGAUUGGUGCCUUCGGGAACUCAGACACAGGUGCUGCAUGGCUGUCGU
rnacentral:rRNA from 1 species